rnacentral:misc_RNA from 1 species
GAUGAAGAACGUAGUGAAAUGCGAUAAGUAAUGUGAAUUGCAGAAUUCAGUGAAUCAUCGAAUCUUUGAACGCACAUUGCGCCCCUUGGUAUUCCGAGGGGCAUGCCUGUUCGAGCGUCAUUAUAACCCCUCAAGCUCAGCUUGGUGUUGGGGCCUGCUGCACUGGCAGCCCUUAAAAUCAGUGGCGGCGCCAUCUGGCUCUAAGCGUAGUAAUUCUUCUCGCUAUGGAGUCCUGGUGGAUGCUUGCCAUCAACCCCCAAUUUUUCUAUGGUUGACCUCGGAUCAGGUAGGGAUACCCGCUGAACUUAAGCAUAUCAAUAAGCGGAGAA